rnacentral:lncRNA from 1 species
CCAAACAUUCCCAUUGUUUUACCUUCUCCAUCUGAAGCCCUAGUCCUCCAUGGUUACAGGCUUUUCAGCUCCAAACCAUCCACAAACUCUCACCAUCCAUUCCUCGCACUCAUUCCAACAUCAAUCUGGAUCCAAUCUCCCAAAAAAAUCCCCAAGUCUCCACUUCAAGUCCGGGUGGAAAAUCAGAAGAAAGAAAUAAUGUUUCCAUUCCCGUGCUCUCAAGACUCGACUUGACUCAUAACUAUCGUUAAGUGAUUGUUCUUGCUUAGAAUAAUCAAUUCAUGAUAAUUUUGGCUCAUAUCGAGAUUGGUUCGUCCCGGACCGGACUAAGAACAUUUGGCCGAGUUCUUCGUCUUCAGUGAUCCAUGGCGGAUAGCGUCAGUACUCUCAUUGCUUCACCCUGUUCUUCUGGUCUUCUGUUUAUCUUCUUGUUUUGGUUUUCAUAUUUUUCUGUGAUUCGAAUUAGUUUCAGUCUAAUUAAAAUCAGUAGGUUUUAAGCUCUCCAAUCAAGUAACUAGAUUAGUAUUUUGGUAGAAUCUAUAUUUGUUUGAUUUGGGAUUCUUGUUGGUUGAUUCGGACUUGUUAUUUACUUUGGGGCUUUUGUCAACCUUUGCUUAAACUGUUACCAAGCUGAUUCGUGACUAGUUUUAGGGCCUAUGGAAGGUUAGAUUUGGGAGAGCACUAAGAGCUCGUCUCUAUUUGAAAUCCCAAAAACUUUGGGUCAGGAUUGUUUUGUUUGGUUGCUAAUAGUAAAUCAUAAGGGGAUGGAGGAUAGUUUAGGAAGUUUAUGUGAGGGAAUCUCUUAGUCACUAACUAGGAAGCUUCAUGAAGCUGACUUGGGGAAUGUUUUACAAUUCUAAAAAACUAGUUAAGUAUUCCUAAGCAAAGCAAGAAUUAGUGAAAGGCCUAUGUGCAAAAUUAAAUUGUCUAGGUUGUCAUACCUUUCUUGCCUAUAAAGGCAUUAUUUCUUGCCAUUCAAGGAAGAUUUCCAAGAGCUAGAAUUCUGAAAAAUACAAACGGCUGUUGAAAUGACUGUUUCAUUGAGUUUCCUUGAUGAUCUCUUAGAUCUCCAAUUCUUGAACUGAAUUCUGACUUAUCUAAGGGAGGAGAUGGCUUGAUUUUGAUACUUAAGAGAGAGAAAUCAGAAAAGAAAAAAUGAAUGGCUAGAAAACUACUGAAAACUACUGUUCCAAUGAUAUUUUUUGCAACUUUUGAAGUUUUACUUUUCUGAUAAAUGAUCUUAUUCAUCUGGGUUUGAUUGUGGUUCGAAUUGGGAACUGGGGCUUGUUUCUGUUGCUGUUAGUCUAUUGUUGCUGCUUCAUUUUAAAGUUUCAAGCUAAUUUCUGGUUUUUUGGUUGGUAUUCAGGUAUGCAUUUCUGCAUCCUCCUUAACUAUAUUUGAUUUGGAAUUAGAAAUGAAGAUCAGGAGCUUUGAUUUGUAUUCACCAUUAGUUUGUUCAUAGUUUAGCUCUUUCAUUUUUCUUGCUCUUGAUUUCUACCUUUACAUCUUUGGAUAUGUAAUUAGAAACUGAUAGCCAAUACAUUGUAUGCUGGUCAUUAAUUUGGAUGAGACUUCUCAAAUAUAGUCAUUUUGUGUUGCUUAUUUGUUGUUUGGAUUUGAAAUGGUUUAAGUCUGGCAGAUUCAGGGUGUUUUUUUGGAUUCUUAAGUAUGUAUUAGAGAUAUGCGACCAAGUUUGAUGUAAUAAGGAUCUCAUAUGCGAGUUGGGUUAAUGGACAAUACUGUAGUGCCUGAACUUGACUUGCGUGCAUGGUUGCUCAUUUCAGCAAAAAGUUGGACAUGUUCUUGAGAUCCAGUUUAGUCUCUUUAAGAUCAGUUUAAUUUUCUUUCUUGUUUUUACAUCUUGAACUUUACAUCUUGGUCCCUCAUCGUUUGUUUUGGAAUUCGA